UCUGAAUGGUUUUGAGAGAUGUCAAUUUU
rnacentral:piRNA from 1 species